GGGCUCAUAGCUCAGCGGGAGAGCACUGCGUUCGCAACGCAGGGGUCGGGGGUUCAAAUCCCCCUGGGUCCA
rnacentral:tRNA from 1 species